UUGGGAAUAUCAUCAUAAUGGAGACGCGUGGAAAAGAUACUUGGAGAAGGAUGAUUUACCAUCAAAUCAAUGGACUCUACAAGAACUUCAUACAAGGCUGCAGAGAAUAUAGGAUACAUAGAUGAACAAAUUAUCUACUGAAGAUGAGAAAUGCGUCCAAAGCAAGACCCCACGAUGCUAAAGACCCUUGGACUUUCAGAAAAUUUGGAUCUGGAGCAGGAAUCAACCUGAAUCACUGG